rnacentral:rRNA from 1 species
GCAGCGGAGCAUGUGGCUUAAUUCGACGCAACGCGAAGAACCUUACCAAGGCUUGACAUCGCCCGGAAAGCCGUAGAGAUACGGCCCCCCUUGUGGUCGGGUGACAGGUGGUGCAUGGCUGUCGUCAGCCCGUGUCGUGAGAUGUUGGGUUAAGUCCCGCAACGAGCGCAACCCUUGUUCUGUGUUGCCAGCAUGCCCUUCGGGGUGAUGGGGACUCACAGGAGACUGCCGGGGUCACUCGGAGGAAGA